CCCUUAGAUGUUCUGGGCGGCCCGCGCACUACAUUGGCACUGGCAACAAGAUCCUAGAUCUGGUAUUUCGGGGUAUUCUACCAACUGAUGUCGUGACUGGGAUUAACCCCUGCAAUUAUUGGUUAUGAACGAGGAAUUCCUUGUAAUCACGGUUUAUCAACCCGUGUUGAAUGCGUCCCUGCCCUUUGUACACACCGCCCGUCGCUCCUACCGAUGAAUCGUCCGGUGAAGUUCAUGGAGUCGCGGCUGCUCCAGCUGUUUUCGAAGUGAAAUGGACCUCAUGAUUUAGAGGAAGGAGAANUCGUAACA
rnacentral:rRNA from 1 species